GCCAUUAUUUAAAGGGACCAGUAACACUAAAUAGCCUGUACAUUUUUGUUCUCCUCCUAAUAAUUUUGAUUCACAAUGGAAAAUCAGCAAGAGAAACAGAAGGCCAAUGACAAGAAACAGAGUUCCAAGGGCAAGAAAAAGCCUAUACCAGUUAAGAUUAGAAAAUGUUGUCCGCACGUCGUAAAACCCAAGGGGGAUAGAAGCUUUCUCGAAGGAUGCCUCUUUGCUUUGUGUUGCUGUUGGAUCUGUGACAUGUGCUUUGAUACCACUGUUGUGGUUGGGUAAGAGGCUAGAUGAGAGAGGCUGCAGCAGAUCAAAAUCAUCUUCACCAGGCUUGAUCCAUAUACAUCACCUAGCUUUUCAUGUAUCUACUGUUUGAUUGAAUAAUUUUAUAUAUAUCCUUGUGCAAGAUAUAUGUAAUUCUUUGAGUCUGGCUCAAGCUUGUGGUCUCGAGUUGGUUCCUUCUUGGAGUCCUUGGAAAUUUUGAAGUUUUAUAGACAUAUAUAUGUAUUUGGAACAGUUUUUGUGUGUAUAAUGAAUAAUGUUAUAAGCAUGAUUUUUCUUA